rnacentral:snRNA from 1 species
AGCUUUGCUCUGUGGCAAUAUUGUGGCCAAGGAGGUUUCUCCGAGGUGCAAUUAUUGCUAACUGAUACAGGCUUGAGAGAGUAAGGCAGCACACUGUCCUGGAAUAUUGGGACUUAGAGGUU